rnacentral:rRNA from 1 species
CCUACGGGGGGCAGCAGUGAGGAAUAUUGGUCAAUGGACGAGAGUCUGAACCAGCCAAGUCGCGUGAAGGAUGACUGCCCUCUGGGCUGUAAACUUCUUUUAUAAAGGAAUAAAACGAGGCACGUGUGCCUUUUUGCAUGUACUUUAUGAAUACAGAUCGGCUAAAUCCGUGCCAGCAGCCGCGGUAAUACGGAGGAUCCGAGCGUUAUCCGGAUUUAUUGGGUUUAAAGGGAGCGUAGAUGGGUUGUUAAGUCAGUUGUGAAAGUUUGCGGCUCAACCGUAAAAUUGCAAUUGAUACUGGCAGUCUUGAGUACAGAUGAGGUAAGCGGAAUUCGUGGUGUAGCGGUGAAAUGCUUAGAUAUCACGAAGAACCCCGAUUGCGAAGGCAGCUUACUAAACUGUGACUGACAUUGAGGCUCGAAAGUGUGGGUAGCAAACAGGAUUAGAUACCCCUGUAGUC